rnacentral:rRNA from 1 species
AUUUUGACUGUGCGAAGGUAGCAUAAUAAAUUGUCUUUUAAAUGGAGGCUUGAAUGAAAGGUUGGACAAAGUAUCAUCUGUUUCUUAAAUAUUUAUUGAAUUUGACUUUCAAGUGAAAAGGCUUGAAUAAAUUAAAAAGACGAUAAGACCCUAUAAAUCUUCACAAUAAACACACUCUAUGUUUUAAUUUAUAAGUGUAUAAGAUAUAAAGUUUGUAGUUGUUCCGCUGGGGCGGCGUAGAUAUAUAAAUAAACUGUCUAUAUAUUAAAUACAGUAAUUAUUGAUUAAUAAAAUUGAUCCUUAAAUAGAUUAAAAGAUUAAGAUACUUUAGGGAUAACAGCGUUAUUUUUUUUGAGAGUUCUUAUCGAAGAAAAAGUUUGCGACCUCGAUGUCGAAUUAAAGUAUCUCUAUAAGCAACCAGUGAGCAGG